UUAAGCAAGAAAGAGCACAGGGUGGAUGCCUUGGCACUAAGAGCCGAUGAAAGACGCAGUAAGCUGCGAAAAGCUGUGGGGAGCCGCAAACAGGCAGUGAUCCGCAGGUGUCUGAAUGGGGAAACCCGCCGGGGAAACACCCCGGCACCGUGCACUGAAUCCAUAGGUGUACGGAGGGAACCCGGCGAACUGAAACAUCUAAGUAGCCGGAGGAAAAGAAAGAAAACUCGAUUCCGGAAGUAGCGGCGAGCGAAACUGGAAGAGCCUAAACCGCUGCGCGUGCGCGGCGGGGUAUGGACCGCAGGAAAGUGUGAGAAGCUAAGCAGAACGAGCCUGGGAAGGCCGGCCAGAGCGGGUGAAAGCCCCUUAUGCGGCAGCAAAUCACAUGGAGCGGAAUCCGGAGUACCACGGGACACGAGAAACCCUGUGGGAAGGAGCGGGGACCACCCCGCAAGGCUAAAUACUCCUUAGUGACCGAUAGAGCAGAGUACUGUGAAGGAAAGGUGAAAAGGACCCCGGGAGGGGAGUGAAAGAGAACCUGAAACCCUGUGUUUACAAGCUGCGGAAGCGCCACAAGAGCGCAACCGCGUACUUUUUGUAGAACGGUCCGGCGAGCUGCAUGUACAGGCAAGGUUAAGCGGGGAAACCCGUGGAGCCGCAGGGAAACCAAGCGUGAAAAGCGCGAAGAAGUCUGUCCAGGCAGGCCCGAAACCGGGUGAUCUACCCAUGUCCAGGCUGAAGCUGCCGUAAAAGGCAGUGGAGGGCCGCACGCACAUCCGUUGAAAAGGGUGGCGAUGAGGUGUGGGUAGGGGAGAAAUUCCAAUCGAACCCGGAGAUAGCUGGUUCUCCCCGAAAUAGCUUUAGGGCUAGCCCUGUAUAAACCCAGCGGAGGUAGAGCACUGGAUUUCCGAGGGGGCGUCAAAGCCUGCCAGAGAAUACCAAACUCCGAAUGCCGUAUGGGUGUUGCACAGGAGUCAGGCUGCACGAGAUAAGUCGGGCAGCCGAGAGGGAAAGAGCCCGGACCCGCGGCUAAGGCCCCAAAGUGCAUGUUAAGUGGAAAAGGAUGUGGGGGUUCAAAGACAGCUAGGAUGUUGGCUCAGAAGCAGCCACACAUUAAAAGAGUGCGUAACAGCUCACUAGCCGAGAGCCCCUGCGCCGAAAAUGUCCGGGGCUAAAACAUGCCGCCGAAGCCCGGGGUCCAUGCAAAAGCAUGGGCGGUAGGGGAGCAUUGCCGGCACGAAGAAGCCGUACCGAGAGGGGCGGUGGAGUGCCGGGAAGGGAGAAUGCCGGAAUGAGUAGCGAGAGGAAGGUGAGAAUCCUUCCGGCCGAAUGUCCAAGGUUUCCAGGGUAAAGCUGAUCUGCCCUGGGUGAGUCGGGGCCUAAGGCGAGGCUGAAAAGCGUAGCCGAUGGAUAACAGGUAGAGAUUCCUGUACUGCCUUAUAACAGAAGAUGCGGGGACGCGUUGGCAAAGUGUGAGCCGGGAAAGGAAAAACCGGUGCAAGGACGAGAGGCGUCGGAGGGGAAAGUCCCUUCCGGCAGCAAGCCGGCCGUCUGAUGCAUAGCGAAAAAGAGUAGCGAAACACAUGGAGCGGGCGCCGAGAAAAGCCGCUAUUGUUUGUAAGGUACCCGUACCGAAGACCGACACAGGUGGACAGGGAGAGGAUCCCAAGGCCGGCGGGCGAAGCACUGCCAAGGAACUCGGCAAAAUGGCCCCGUAACUUCGGGAGAAGGGGCGCCCCCGUGAGGGGGCCGCAGAGAAUAGGCCCAAGCAACUGUUUAGCAAAAACACAGGUCUGUGCAAAACCGCAAGGUGAAGUAUACGGGCUGACGCCUGCCCGGUGCUGGAAGGUUAAGGGGAGGGGUAAGCGGGAAACCGCGAAGCUCCGAGCCUAAGCCCCAGUAAACGGCGGCCGUAACUAUAACGGUCCUAAGGUAGCGAAAUUCAUUGUCGGGCAAGUUCCGACCCGCACGAAAGGCGUAAUGAUUUGGGCGCUGUCUCGGCAGUGCACCCGGUGAAAUUGAAGUGCCAGUGAAGAUGCUGGCUACCUGCGCCAGGAC
rnacentral:rRNA from 1 species